GUGAUCACAGAGGGACACCAUCACCGCAGCAAUCACGGCUACAUUCUCCGUCUGUAGAGGAAAACACUCGCACUCUAAACAGAAAACAUCCCAGCAUUCCUUUGAUGAAACGAAACUCCACAAUGAACUCAGCAGAAACCUAUAGGACAGCUGGGAGAAGAAUUAAGUGUGUGGGUCCACUAUAGCAGGAUUACUGACUGAAUCUUUAAGAUCAGAGAUGGAGCUCAACAUUACACUGCAUUUGAAUGACCUGCAGAAGAAGCAUGGAAAUAUCAACGUGUAUGUCUCUGUUGUAGUGCUAGUGUGUUUUUAGAUAAGUGAUUUAGUCCAUCAAGUAUUCAGUGUGUACUUUGAUUUAGCAACUGAUCAUUACAAUUAAGAAAACUAGUUAAGAAGAAUAAAUUAAUAAUGUCAUUAUUGUGACUGUAUAUUUAUUUAAUGAUAUGCAGGACAAUAUGUUAU